ACCCGCUGAACUUAAGCAUAUCAAUAAGCGGAGGAAAAGAAACCAACAGGGAUUGCCUCAGUAACGGCGAGUGAAGCGGCAACAGCUCAAAUUUGAAAUCUGGCUCCUUCGGGGCCCGAGUUGUAAUUUGCAGAGGAUGCGUCGGGUACGGGUGCCUUCCGAGUUCCCUGGAACGGGACGCCAUAGAGGGUGAGAGCCCCGUCUGGUAGGACACCCAGCCCAUGUGAUGCUCCCUCGACGAGUCGAGUAGUUUGGGAAUGCUGCUCUAACGGGAGGUAUACUCCUUCCAAGGCUAAAUACCGGCUGGAGACCGAUAGCGCACAAGUAGAGUGAUCGAAAGAUGAAAAGCACUUUGAAAAGAGAGUCAAAUAGCACGUGAAAUUGUUAAAAGGGAAGCGCUCGCUACCAGACUUGGGUUCGGCGGUUCAACCGGGGCCACGCCCCGGGGCAUUCCGCCGUCCCAGGCCAGCAUCAGCUUUCCGUCGGGGGCAAAGGCGUCGGGAAUGUGGCUCUCCUUCGGGGGAGUGUUAUAGCCCGGCGUGUCAUACCCUUCGGGGGGCUGAGGUACGCGCUUCUGCAAGGAUGCUGGCGUAAUGGUAGCUAGUGACCCGUCUUGAAACACGGACC
rnacentral:rRNA from 1 species